rnacentral:lncRNA from 1 species
CCCAGCUACUCAGGAGACUGAGCAUGGUGGUACAUGCCUGUAGUCCCAGCUACUCAGGAGACUGAGGUGGGAGGAUCACUUGAACCCAGGAAGUCAAGGCUGCAGUGAGCUGUGAUCAUGCCACUGCACUCCAGCUUGGAUAACAGAGUGAGACCCUGUCUCCAAAAAAAAAAAGAAAGAAAAAGAAAACAAGUCAUGGAGCUAGUAAGUGCCCAAGAGAACAAGAAUAAACCUAGAUCCGUGGGACUCCAAGCCUGUGCGCGCUCCAUGCUUGCUUUUUCCACCACACCACGUUAACACAAUUUCCUCCUUCCAUGAGACCCCAGGGGAAAGGGGCACCUGAGAAGCCCUCGUGGCACCCUCCCAGGUUGUUUCCACGGCUACUACAGUAAGAAAGUGUUGCUGGGGGAAGGUCAGCUCUCUGGCCCACGCCUUCCACCUGUUUCUGCUGUGUUCUUUCCUCAGGGAUCCCAACGGCUUCAAUGACUGGACCUUCUCCACUGUGCGAUGCUGGGGGGAGAGAGCCCGAGGGACCUACAGGCUUGUCAUCAGGGAUGUCGGGGAUGAGUCAUUCCAGGUCGGCAUCCUCCGGCAAUGGCAGCUGACCCUAUAUGGCUCUGUGUGGAGUGCAGUAGACAUCAGGGACAGACAAAGGUGGGUAAAGCCGCAUGUGUCAGAGGGAAGGCCAGUCACAGGGGAAGGGCUGCCUAGGGAGCCCAUCGCCCUCUGAACCCCAGCUGUGCUUCCCAGUUCCAGCGUCAAGCUGGUAGAUGGAGCCCCGGGCUGGGAACUCACAGUCUGGGCCUCUCCUUUUUGCUGUGGGGCUUCCCUGUCUUCACCUGUAAGGCAGGAAAAUGGGUGAGGGCAGAUGGUAUAGGAACCAUAGUCAGUGGGGCAUCCUCACCUCUUUUCUUCUCCACAGGCUGUUAGAGAGUGCCAUGAGUGGAAAAUACCUGCACGAUGACUUCGCCCUGCCCUGCCCACCGGGGCUGAAAAUUCCUGAGGAAGAUGGUUACACCAUCACCCCCAACACCCUCAAGCAGUCUGGUUUAUUCCAUGGGUGGAAGAGGAAGCCAAGUUGGCUGAGUGUGAAGG